rnacentral:rRNA from 1 species
GCUCAGGAUGAACGCUAGCGGCAGGCCUAACACAUGCAAGUCGAGGGGUAACAGGGAAGCUUGCUUCCGCUGACGACCGGCGCACGGGUGCGUAACGCGUAUGCAAUUUACCUCUAUCUGGAAGAUAGCCCGAAGAAAUUCGGAUUAAUACUCCAUAAUAUCUAGUAAUGGCAUCAUUUUUAGAUUAAAGCUCCGGCGGAUAGGGAUAAGCAUGCGUCCUAUUAGUUUGUUGGUGAGGUAACGGCUCACCAAGACUAUGAUAGGUAGGGGGCCUGAGAGGGUAAUCCCCCACACUGGUACUGAGACACGGACCAGACUCCUACGGGAGGCAGCAGUGAGGAAUAUUGGUCAAUGGACGAAAGUCUGAACCAGCCAUGCCGCGUGCAGGAUGACUGCCCUACGGGUUGUAAACUGCUUUUGUAUGAGAAUAAACCCACGCUCGUGAGCGUGGCUGAAGGUAUCAUACGAAUAAGGAUCGGCUAACUCCGUGCCAGCAGCCGCGGUAAUACGGAGGAUCCAAGCGUUAUCCGGAUUCAUUGGGUUUAAAGGGUCCGCAGGCGGAAUAUUAAGUCAGUGGUGAAAGCCUGCAGCUUAACUGUAGAACUGCCAUUGAUACUGAUAUUCUUGAGUGUAGUUGAGGUGGGCGGAAUAAGUCAUGUAGCGGUGAAAUGCAUAGAUAUGACUUAGAACACCGAUUGCGAAGGCAGCUCACUAAACUAUUACUGACGCUCAGGGACGAAAGCGUGGGGAGCAAACAGGAUUAGAUACCCUGGUAGUCCACGCCGUAAACGAUGAUCACUCGCUGUUAGCGAUAUACUGUUAGCAGCCAAGCGAAAGCCUUAAGUGAUCCACCUGGGGAGUACGCUCGCAAGAGUGAA